GAAGAUAAUGGACGACCAUCUAUGACGUCUAUAUGAAAAGGUUUAAUUUUCUUUACUAAAGAUAUGCUAUGUCUUUUGAUAAAUUCUUCAUCUAAGAAACACGCUGAGGCUCCUGAAUCUAACAAGGCAGAGGCUUUGUAAUGUUUAGGUCCUAAAAUAACAUUUAAUGUAAAACAAAGAGAGGGUUUUAAAGGGAGAAUAGGACCUUUACUAGAUGUUGUGCAAGGUUUUAGCCGCACGGUCCCUACUGUAGCUGGACAAACUUGUUUUUUGACAUUUUAUCUUCUUUCAUAGCCAUACUUCUCAUUUUGUGGUUGUGUCAUUUCUUUGGACAAUGUUGAGCAGUGUAUUUUGGUUCU
rnacentral:lncRNA from 1 species